rnacentral:rRNA from 1 species
AGAGUUUGAUCCUGGCUCACAUUGAACGCUGGCGGCAGGCUUAACACAUGCAAGUCGAGCGGAAACGAUGAUAGCUCGCUAUCAGGCGUCGAGCGGCGGACGGGUGAGUAAUACUUAGGAAUCUACCUAGUAGUGGGGGAUAGCUCGGGGAAACUCGAAUUAAUACCGCAUACGUCCUACGGGAGAAAGGGGGCAACUUGUUGCUCUCGCUAUUAGAUGAGCCUAAGUCGGAUUAGCUAGAUGGUGGGGUAAAGGCCUACCAUGGCGACGAUCUGUAGCUGGUCUGAGAGGAUGAUCAGCCACACCGGGACUGAGACACGGCCCGGACUCCUACGGGAGGCAGCAGUGGGGAAUAUUGGACAAUGGGGGGAACCCUGAUCCAGCCAUGCCGCGUGUGUGAAGAAGGCCUUUUGGUUGUAAAGCACUUUAAGCAGUGAAGAAGACUCUUCGGUUAAUACCCGGGGACGAUGACAUUAGCUGCAGAAUAAGCACCGGCUAACUCUGUGCCAGCAGCCGCGGUAAUU